AACGAACGCUGGCGGCAGGCUUAACACAUGCAAGUCGAACGGUUGUAGCAAUACAGCAGUGGCAGACGGGUGAGUAACACGUGGGAACCUUCCUAGGGGUACGGAACAACUCAGGGAAACUUGAGCUAAUACCGUAUACGUCCGUAAGGAGAAAGAUUUAUCGCCCCUAGACGGGCCCGCGUCGGAUUAGCUAGUUGGUGGGGUAACGGCCCACCAAGGCGACGAUCCGUAGCUGAUCUUAGAGGAUGAUCAGCCACACUGGGACUGAGACACGGCCCAGACUCCUACGGGAGGCAGCAGUGGGGAAUCUUGGACAAUGGGCGCAAGCCUGAUCCAGCCAUGCCGCGUGAGUGAAGAAGGUCUUCGGAUUGUAAAGCUCUUUUACCAGGGACGAUAAUGACGGUACCUGGAGAAUAAGCCCCGGCAAACUUCGUGCCAGCAGCCGCGGUAAUACGAAGGGGGCUAGCGUUGUUCGGAAUUACUGGGCGUAAAGCGCACGUAGGCGGGUCGUUUAGUCAGGGGUGAAAUCCCGGAGCUCAACUCCGGAACUGCCUUUGAUACUGGCGAUCUAGAGAUCGGAAGAGGUUAGUGGAAUUCCCAGUGUAGAGGUGAAAUUCGUAGAUAUUGGGAAGAACACCAGUGGCGAAGGCGGCUAACUGGUCCGAUACUGACGCUGAGGAGCGAAAGCGUGGGUAGCGAACAGGAUUAGAUACCCUGGUAGUCCACGCCGUAAACGGUGGGCGCUAGGUGUGGGUUUCCUUCCACGGGAUCCGUGCCGUAGCUAACGCAUUAAGCGCCCCGCCUGGGGAGUACGGCCGCAAGGCUAAAACUCAAAGGAAUUGACGGGGGCCCCCACAAGCGGAGGAGCAUGUGGAUUAAUUCGAUGCAACGCGAAAGAACCUUACCNGGGUUUGACAUCCACCGGAAAGCCGCAGAGAUGUACCCCCCCUUGUGGUCGGUGUACAGCUGGUGCAUGGCGGUCGUCAGCUCGUGUCGUGAGAUGAUGGGUUAAGUCCUGCAACGAGCGCAACCCCCGUCGCAUGUUGCCAGCAUCUAGUUGGGGACUCAUGCGAGACUGCCGGUGACAAUCCGGAGGAAGGUGGGGAGGACGUCAAGUCAUCAUGCCCCUCAUGUCCAGGGGUACACACCUGGUACAUUGGCCGGUACAGAGGGGUGCGAUACCGCGAGGUGGAGAGAAUCCCAAAAAACCGGUCUCGGUUCGGAUUGGAGGGUGAAACUCUCCUCCAUGAAGGGGGAGUUGCUAGUAAUCCCGGAUCAGCAACGCCGGGGUGAAUACGUUUCCGGGCCUUGUACACCCCGCCCGUCACCCCCCGAAAGCGGGCAACACCCGAAGCCGGUGACCCAACCCUUACGGGAGGGAGCCGUCGAAGGUGGGGCUCGUGAUUGGGGUG
rnacentral:rRNA from 1 species